GACGAACGCUGGCGGCGUGCCUAAUACAUGCAAGUAGAACGCUGAAGAGAGGAGCUUACUCUUCUUGGAUGAGUUGCGAACGGGUGAGUAACGCGUAGGUAACCUGCCUUGUAGCGGGGGAUAACUAUUGGAAACGAUAGCUAAUACCGCAUAACAAUGGAUGACACAUGUCAUUUAUUUGAAAGGGGCAAUUGCUCCACUACAAGAUGGACCUGCGUUGUAUUAGCUAGUAGGUGAGGUAAUGGCUCACCUAGGCGACGAUACAUAGCCGACCUGAGAGGGUGAUCGGCCCCACUGGGACUGGGACACGGCCCAGACUCCUACGGGAGGCAGCAGUAGGGAAUCUUCGGCAAUGGGGGCAACCCUGACCGAGCAACGCCGCGUGAGUGAAGAAGGUUUUCGGAUCGUAAAGCUCUGUUGUAAGUCAAGAACGGGUGUGAGAGUGGAAAGUUCACACUGUGACGGUAGCUUACCAGAAAGGGACGGCUAACUACGUG
rnacentral:rRNA from 1 species